GCUCGUGCUGCAUCACUCGGAGGACAUCCCCACAUGACGGACCAGGCGCCGCCCGCGUAACCGCAAAGCUAUAUGGACCAUCACUCUGCGACACGCUAACAACACUUGGGCCACCAAAGAGGUUGUGAACUCCACCGAGGGAUUCCUGGUAAGCCCCACCCAAGAACAUCCCCAAAUAGUACCGCCCAUUAGCACCACCACUGCUACCACCACCAUUACCUUCCAACCCAUGUAAAGGCAAGCUUGUUUCACCUCCGAUGAACUUAUCAAUCUUCCCAUCACUGUCACAGGUUAAAUCAGACAAAAUCCCCCUCACUUCAGGCCUUUCAUCCAAUCGAUGAAUGGGGACUAUGGGAAAAAUCUGACCAAUACUCCAAAAAUCAGGG
rnacentral:lncRNA from 1 species